CUGAUGUGUUGUGCAAGUCCACAAACAAAGGGAACGGUGAGAGGAGGAGAGUGCAUAGAGGCGAGAAGGAAUACAACGUGGCUGCUAUGAAAGCAAACUGUGUUUAUGUGUGAUCAGCAAGCACAUCAGUUGAAAACGAAAAACCUGAGUAGCUGGUGUGUGCGGUCACCAAAAUGCCAGAGGAUUUAAAGAGAGAGGACUUUGUUGAUCUAAGCUUUGGCGAUCAGGUGGCCAAGGAGAAGUUCCUGAUCAGCAACAAAAAACAAGACCUGAUUGAGGUGCUCUUCACCAGGGAGGAGAUGGUGUUGUUCUCCGUGUCGGGCAGGAAAUCAAACAAUCGUUCAAGAUUCUGUGACAAAGCCAGCUUUGUCAAGCAACAAAGUGCUCGCUCUUGUUGCUCAUGUCCAGAGAUGUUUUGAGGGGGUGGACAAGACCUCAAUGAGGACUGCCAGUUAUGGUCUACAAGCUACAGGACAUCGUCACCCAACUGAAGCCAAAAGCAGAAUAAAAUAAAUGAAAACAACCUAUUAAUAAAUCAUGUUUUUUGUGCUAGAUGAAAGCUAGGUAUUCAUUUCUAACCCUUUGGCCACGUUGAAUAAAUCCCAUGAAAUACACACAAAAAAUCCAAUGAAUAACCAAUGGUAAUAGUAUAGCAACCCCAUCCAAUGAAUAACCCAUUAACAUCCAAUGGGAAUAUGAGAUAAUCCCAAUGAUAAUCUUGUUAAUUGAGAGUGGGGGGAAUCCAAUCCAAUGGGAUAGUUCCAAUGAGAAUCCUAUGGCAUUUUCCCUUUGGGAAUCCAAUGGUAAUUUUUAUAGAGGAUCCAGCACGUCCAGUCUGCAACUAGCCAUGGGGGUUUAGAAGACAGCAGUGCGCUUGCAAGUCGGGAAUUGAGGAAGUACCGCCAUAGGUUUACAGCUAGUAAUGUCGCACUAGCCAUUGAUUUAUGAGCUAGUAGCUACUAAAACAGUAGUUGUCAAACCUCUCCUUGGGGUCCAGAACUAGCACACCUGAUUCAACUUGUCAACUAAUCAUCAAACCCUCGAUUAGGUGAAUCAGGUGUGCUAGUUCAGGGCUUAAACAAAAUGGUGAGAUGUCUGGGGGUCCCCUACUGUAGGUGAAGCUAUAUAUAGUACAGUUUGAUUAUAUAUAAUAGAAUUUACGUCCUAAUUG
rnacentral:lncRNA from 13 species